AGUCGUAACAAGGUUUCCGUAGGUGAACCUGCGGAAGGAUCAUUGUCGUAGCCUGCGAAAGCAAAGCAACUCGCGAACACGUAGUCAACGCCCGGGGACUCGGGGCGCCUCUCCGGAGAACGCCCCUUCUCCCCGAACGUCGGGCGGCUCGGAGUCCGUUUCGCGGACGACGCGCCGUCCCGGCCCAACAACAAACCGGCGUGAAAUGCGCCAAGGAACGCGAAAGAGAGUGCACCCUCCGGUCGUCGGCUCGCGCCGCGCCCGGGCUGGUGUCGUCUUCUUGAUGAGUUUAUAAUGACUCUCGGCAACGGAUAUCUCGGCUCUUACAUCGAUGAAGAACGUAGCAAAAUGCGAUACUUGGUGUGAAUUGCAGAAUCCCGUGAACCAUCGAGUCUUUGAACGCAAGUUGCGCCCGAAUCCUCUUGGUCGAGGGCACGUCUGCCUGGGUGUCACGUACACGCGCCUCCCGCAAACCUUCCCCCUUGGGGACGAAGGGUCAUGCGGGAGCAGAUGUUGGUAUCCCGUGCCCGUUCCGCGCGGCUUGCCUAAAAACGGAGAGCCGGUGACGAAACGUCGCGCCUAGUGGUGGUUGCAUUGGCCUAGCGGCCGACCCGUUCGCGGCGUGGACGUUUGUGUCCCGGAGAUCUCGGACGACACCUCGGACGCCCUCCAAUGGGCGUGCUACUGUCGCGACCCCA
rnacentral:misc_RNA from 1 species